rnacentral:rRNA from 1 species
AUGGCGAAGAAGGCCGCAAAGCGAGCUGUUGGUGAAGCAAGGGGUCGGGCAUAUGAGGACCUCUACCAACGGUUAGGCACGAAGGAAGGUGAAAGGGACAUCUAUAAGAUGGCCAAGAUUCGAGAGAGGAAGACGAGGGACAUUGGCCAAGUCAAAUGCAUCAAGGACGGUGCAUGCCAACUCUUGGUGAAGGACGAGGAGAUUAAGCAUAGAUGGCGGGAGUACUUCGACAAGCUGUUCAAUGGGGAGAAUGAGAGUUCUACCAUUGAACUAGACGACUCCUUUGAUGAGACCAGCAUGCGUUUUGUGCGGCGAAUCCAAGAGUCUGAGGUGAAGGAGGCUUUAAAAAGGAUGAAAGGAGGCAAGGCGAUGGGCCCGGAUUGUAUCCCCAUUGAGGUGUGGAAAGGUCUCGGGGACAUAGCAAUAGUAUGGCUAACCAAGCUUUUCAACCUCAUUUUUCGGGCAAACAAGAUGCCAGAAGAAUGGAGAUGGAGUAUAUUAGUACCAAUCUUCAAGAACAAGGGGGAUGUUCAGAGUUGUACUAAUUACCGUGGAAUUAAGCUGAUGAGCCAUACAAUGAAGCUAUGGGAGAGAGUCAUUGAGCACCGCUUAAGAAGAAUGACAAGCGUGACCAAAAAUCAGUUUGGUUUCAUGCCUGGGAGGUCGACCAUGGAAGCCAUUUUCUUGGUACGACAACUUAUGGAGAGAUAUAGGGAGCAAAAGAAGGACUUGCAUAUGGUGUUCAUUGACUUGGAGAAGGCCUAUGAUAAGAUACCGCGGAAUGUCAUGUGGUGGGCCUUGGAGAAACACAAAGUCCCAGCAAAGUACAUUACCCUCAUCAAGGACAUGUAUGAUAAUGUUGUGACAAGUGUUCGAACAAGUGAUGUCGACACCGAUGACUUCCCGAUUAAGAUAGGACUGCAUCAGGGGUCAGCUUUGAGCCCUUAUCUUUUUGCAUUGGUGAUGGAUGAGGUCACAAGGGAUAUACAAGGAGAUAUCCCAUGGUGUAUGCUCUUUGCGGAUGAUGUGGUGCUAGUUGACGAUAGUCGGACGGGGGUAAAUAGGAAGUUAGAGUUAUGGAGACAAACCUUGGAAUCGAAAGGGUUUAGGCUUAGUAGAACUAAAACCGAGUACAUGAUGUGCGGUUUCAGUACUACUAGGUGUGAGGAGGAGGUUAGCCUUGAUGGCCAGGUGGUACCUCGGAAGGACACCUUUCGGUAUUUGGGGUCAAUGUUGCAGGAGGAUGGGGGUAUUGAUGAAGAUGUGAACCAUCGAAUCAAAGCCGGAUGGAUGAAGUGGCGCCAAGCUUCUGGCAUUCUCUGUGACAAGAGAGUGCCACAAAAGCUAAAAGGCAAAUUCUACAGGACGGCGGUUCGACCCGCAAUAUUGUAUGGCGCGGAGUGUUGGCCGACUAAAAGGCGACAUGUUCAACAGUUAGGUGUGGCGGAGAUGCGUAUGUUGAGAUGGAUGUGUGGCCACAUGAGGAAGGAUCGAGUCCGGAAUGAUGAUAUACGAGAUAGAGUUGGGGUAGCACCAAUUGAGGAGAAGCUUGUCCAACAUCGUCUGAGAUGGUUUGGUCAUAUUCAGCGCAGGCCUCCAGAAGCUCCAGUGCAUAGCGGACAGCUAAAGCGUGCGGAGAAUGUCAAGAGAGGGCGGGGUAGACCGAAUUUGACAUGGGAGGAGUCCGUUAAGAGAGACCUGAAGGAUUGGAGUAUCACCAAAGAGCUAGCUAUGGACAGGGGUGCGUGGAAGCUUGCUAUCCAUGUGCCAGAGCCAUGA